rnacentral:rRNA from 1 species
UACGUAGGGUGCAAGCGUUGUCCGGAAUUAUUGGGCGUAAAGAGCUCGUAGGCGGUUUGUCGCGUCUGCUGUGAAAACUCGGGGCUCAACUCCGAGCUUGCAGUGGGUACGGGCAGACUAGAGUGAUGUAGGGGAGACUGGAAUUCCUGGUGUAGCGGUGAAAUGCGCAGAUAUCAGGAGGAACACCGAUGGCGAAGGCAGGUCUCUGGGCAUUAACUGACGCUGAGGAGCGAAAGCAUGGGGAGCGAACAGG